UCGAACGGGUGGCUUCGGCCACCAGUGGCAAACGGGUGCGUAACACGUAGGCAACCUGCCUGAGAGACGGGGACAACCGCUGGAAACGGCGGCUAAUACCCGAUGCCCUCGGGAGAGGAAAGGCGCAAGCCGCUCUCAGCGGGGCCUGCGGCCUAUCAGGUAGUUGGUAGGGUAACGGCCUACCAAGCCAACGACGGGUAGGGGGCGUGAGAGCGUGGCCCCCCACACGGGGACUGAGACACGGCCCCG
rnacentral:rRNA from 1 species